rnacentral:rRNA from 1 species
AAAAGUGAAAGACGGUCUUGCUGUCACUUAUAGAUGGAUCCGCGCUGCAUUAGCUAGUUGGUAAGGUAACGGCUUACCAAGGCAACGAUGCAUAGCCGACCUGAGAGGGUGAUCGGCCACACUGGAACUGAGACACGGUCCAGACUCCUACGGGAGGCAGCAGUAGGGAAUCUUCCGCAAUGGGCGAAAGCCUGACGGAGCAACGCCGCGUGAGUGAUGAAGGUCUUCGGAUCGUAAAACUCUGUUAUUAGGGA